GUCCCCAGUGUCUGUCAGUGUCCCCCUGGCAGGGUGGGGAGUCUCAGUGUCCCCAGUCUCAGUGUCCCCAGUCUGUGCCCCCUGAUAGGGUGGGGAGCAUCUGUGUCCCCAGUGUCUGUUGGUGUCCGCCUGGCAUGGUGGGAAGUGUCAGUGUCCCCAGUGUCAGUGUCCCCCUGGCAGGGUGGGGACUGUCAGUGUCCCCCAGUGUCUGUCAUGUCCCCCAGUGUCUGUCAGUGUCCCCAGUGUCACUGCUGGCUGGGUAUGAAUGUCCCCAGCUUCCCCACCAUGGAGGGAGGUGUUUUCUGGCCAGCAAUGAGGUGUUUAGUCAGGCAAGCUGCCUGGAUUCUCCUUGCUGGCUGUUUCUGGCACCUCGUUCCUGCAUGGGUCAGUGCCUCCCUCCCCUUGGCUUUGCUCUGGAGCCUCCUCGGGAUUGCAAGUGGCGUUCUGGGGCCUGCUUGGGGUUGGAGGUGACGUUCUGGGGCCUCCCUGGGGCUGCAGGUGGUGCUCUGGGGCUGCCUCGGGGCCAGGAGUGGCUCUUUGGCGUGGCUGGAGCCCCAGGAGCUCCUGGCUGUUCCCUGUGCAGGGAAUGGAGCAGCUGCCUGCAAUUCUUCAGUGGCUUUUCAGAGUCACCUGGGAGGAGCCCCAGAAGAAAGGUGGCCUUUGUCCCAGCCCAGCCAGGAAAUGCCUCUGAGAAGGGAAGAAUAGGAUGGAGCUGGCAAACUGGAUCAGGCAGGAACUGCAAACAAACAGAGCUGAUAAUCCCCAGGGUGUGUUCGGAGAGUCAACACCGAGAUUCCCAAAGAGCUGCUUGGGAUUGAUGCUUCCCCCAGCCCUGCCCGCUCGUUUCACCUGCAGCAUUUCAUCCUCAGUCAGCCUUGGAAUCUCUGCAAGGAGCUGGUUUGCAGCCUGAGGGAUUAAACCCCAAAUUUGGUUACAUUUCCCAUGGAUUCAGUCCAUGGACUCAUGGAUUUAUUCCUUUAGCCUACAGAUCCAUGGAAAGCCAAGCCCUAUGUGCUGGCAGAAGGGAGGCAGGAAUUGGG